CCCCCCCGAGAAGAUUGGGAACAAGAAAACUACAGAGCUAAUUGGAGGAUUCAUACCUUAUGAACGAACUCUCUUCGACACCAUUGAUAGCAUCCGUGAACGAGGUUUUCUGUCAUGAAAAUGAAAGAACUCAAGGACUAUUGCUAUAGAUCCGUAUGAAAACCAAAAUGAAUGAAUGUGUGUAUUGGUUUGCAAAAGAUAAAGACUCAACUCCACUUUAGGAGUGGAGUCGACGCACUUAACCUGCUUUCUCUUAAGUUCUUGCUUAAGAGAACGCAGGUUUAUAUUUUGCUCAAUUGUGCAAGUGAGUUGGAUGCCCUACUGGAGAGCGAGCUUGAUAGUCUUUGGAGGGAUGUAAAAAUGCAAGAGGAGAUCGAAAAUUGAACCCUCCCUUGCUGCUACUGUCUCCUCCGUGUACCGCCAGCAACUUCAAAGUGCAUUUUGCAUUGCAUAACACUGAAUUCUCACCUGAAAUUAGUAUAGCAAACUUAUUAACUCAUUCAUUAGGGAUCUCAUGAGCCAUUCGUUCGCUAAGCUUUUCCAGGUCUUCUACCACCAUGCCUUCUGUCCCCGCCCUCGGCUUCACCGACCUGUCUGUUGCCCUCCCUGAUGCCUCUUGGGUUGGUCAGCAUGGUCCUCACCUGCUUUACAAAAACUCCACCAACAUGAUGCAAACAUUUGAUUCAGCCACAAUAAAUAAGUUAAAUAGCAAGCUUAGAGACCGGCACAGCGUCCCCAUCUAUCUAUAAAAAAUUAGAUUUUACCAAUUAAGAUAAACAGUAGUCUAGCCACAGUGCUCCAGGAUGCUUCCUUGAAAACUUAAUAGAGUUUAUAAGAUGUUUCCUUGAAGACUUAAUAGAGUGUAUAAAUACACAGCACCACAAGCUAGAGCAAAUAAGUAGCAAAUUAGAGCAAAGAGCACGGCAAUGGAAGCAAGCAAGAAGGUCGUGUGUGUGACUGGAGCCGGGGGUUUCAUUGCCUCUUGGAUUGUAAAGCAGCUUCUGGAGAAAGACUAUACUGUUCACGGCACCGUGCGCGACCCAAGUAAGCAUAGAUUUCUCCCUUAUCCAUAGCCGAAAUCUGAAUGACCCAAUCAUCAGGUAACAAUGCGAAGUGUGGACAUCUCAAGCAGCUCCCAGGAGCUGGGGAGAGGCUCAAGCUGUUCAAAGCCGAUGUUCUCGACUACGAUUCCAUUGUCCCGGCAGUCCGGGGCUGUGAGGCCGUCUUCCACACAGCCUGCCCCUUCUUCUGGAAGUUGGACACCCCAGAUGUGAGAGUCUAGCUGGUUUUGCUCGUGGGCGAUGAGAAAUUUCGAGUUUUGUUUUCUGUCAGGAUGUGUUGGUCCCGGCAAUCACUGGAACGGAGAAUGUGAUGCGUGCUUGCAGCGAGGAGAAGAUCAAGCGAGUGGUGAUGACUUCCUCCGGCGCAGCGGUCAUGUUUGACCCCGAUCGUCCCGAGGACAAGGUGGUUGAUGAGAGCUGCUGGACGAACGUUGACCACUGCCGCAAAAACGAGGCAACUAAAUGGGACUGGCUUUUGACUUGGUUUGACUCUUGACUCUCACUUCGUUUUGCAGCGGUGGUACUUGGUUGCCAAGACGGAGUCGGAGAAGACGGCAUGGAAGUUUGCCGAAGAGAAAGGGCUCAAACUUCUCGUGGUGUGCCCGGUUUACGUGUUUGGUCCUCUCUUGCAACAAACCCUCAACAGUAGCAGCGAAUACCUCAAAGAAGUUGUAGAAGGUUUGACUGUGGUUUCGUUGGUCUUCUCGUACAGACAUUUAUCUUGUUUGAGAUGAUCUAGGUUCCCGGAAUCAUUCACCAAGUUCUUACAUUCCUCUCGUGGACGUGAGAGAUGUUGCAAAAGCUCACAUUUUGGCAGUCGAGAACGAGGCUGCUUCGGGCCGCUACUUUUGCGUUGCACUGAGCGUUUCCCACAGAGACGUCCUGAAAUCGGUCAAGGAAAAGUUCCCCGAGCUUCGCUGCUGUGCCCAAGAGUGAGUGUACUUUCAUCCCUUUUUGUUCAGUUUUGUUCAAAGCGUAAUGAGAUUUGUAUGGGUAGGGGGGUUCCUGAAACGAGCUUUGGAGUUCCUCACGCCGGAAGAUACGAUGGAAUCCCCCCCGAGAAGAUUGGGAACAAGAAAACUACAGAGCUAAUUGGAGGAUUCAUACCUUAUGAACAAACUCUCUUCGACACCAUUGCUAGCAUCCGUGAACGAGGUUUUCUGCCAUGAAAAUGAACUUAAGGACUAUUGCUAUAGAUCUGUAUGAAAACGAAAAUGAAUGAAUGUGCAUAUUGGUUUGCAAAAGAUAAAGACUCUCAACUCCACUUUAGGAGUGAAGUUAACGCACUUAACCUUCUUUCUCUUAAGUUCCUGCUUCCUCAAAGAGAACGCAGCUCUUAUAUUUUGCUCUUGUUAUGGAAUUGUCCAAGUGAGUUGGAUGCCCUAGUGGAGUGCGACGUGUUAGUGUUCGGAGGAUGUAAAAAUAAGAGAAGAUUGAAAAUUGAACCCUCCCUUGCUGCUACCGUCGCACCAGCCAUUCUAACCUGAAAUUAGUAUAGUAGCUGAAGAGCAUAUUGCUACUUUACAAAAACUCCACCAACAUGUCUCAUUUAGCCACAAUAAAUAAGGUAAAUAGCACGCUUAAUAGCGUCCCCAUCUAUCUAUAAAAAAUCAAUUAAGUUAAACAGUAGCCUAGAGACCGGCGCCACAGUGCUCCAGUUGCGACGCCACAGCGCUCCAGGAUGCUUCCUCAGAAGGCAAGCGGAAAUUCUUGAAGACUUGAUAGAGUGUAUAAAUACACAGCAGCGCAAGCUAGAGCAAAUAAGUAGCAAAAAGAGCAAAGAGCAUGGCAAUGGAAGAAAGCAAGAAGGUCGUGUGUGUGACUGGAGCCGGGGGUUUCAUUGCCUCUUGGAUUGUAAAGCAGCUUCUGGAGAAAGGCUAUACUGUUCACGGCACCGUGCGCGACCCAAGUAAGCAUAGACUUCUCCCUUUUACCUUUGAUCCAUAGCCGAAAUCUGAAUGACCCAAUCAUCAGGUAACAAUGCGAAGUGUGGACAUCUCAAGCAGCUCCCAGGAGCUGGGGAGAGGCUCAAGCUGUUCAAAGCCGAUGUUCUCGACUACGAUUCCAUUGUCCCGGCAGUCCGGGGCUGUGAGGCCGUCUUCCACACAGCCUGCCCCUUCUUCUGGAAGUUUGACACCCCAGAUGUAAGAAUCUAGCUGGUUUUGCUCGUGGGCGAUGAGAAAUUUCGAGUUUUGUUUUCUGUCAGGAUGUGUUGGUCCCGGCAAUCACUGGAACGGAGAAUGUGAUGCGUGCUUGCAGCGAGGAGAAGAUCAAGCGAGUGGUGAUGACUUCCUCCGGCGCAGCGGUCAUGUUUGACCCCGAUCGUCCCGAGGACAAGGUGGUUGAUGAGCGCUGCUGGACGAACGUUGACCACUGCCGCAAAAACGAGGCAAGUAAAUGGGACUUGCUUUGGACUUAAUUUAACUCUUGACUCUUGUGCGUUGGACUUCGUUUUGCAGCGGUGGUACUUGGUUGCCAAGACCGAGGCGGAGAAGACAGCAUGGAAGUUUGCCGAAGAGAAAGGGCUCAAACUUCUCGUGGUGUGCCCGGUUUACGUGUUUGGUCCUCUCUUGCAACAAACCCUCAACACUAGCAGCGAAUAUCUCAAGGAAGUUGUAGAAGGUUUGACUGUUGUUUCCUUGGUUUUCUCGCACAGACAUUUAUCUUGUUUGUGAUAAUCUAGGUUCCCGGAAUCCUUCGCCAAGUUCUUACAUUCCUCUCGUGGACGUGAGAGAUGUUGCAAAAGCUCACAUUUUGGCAGUCGAGAACGAGGCUGCUUUGGGGCGCUACUUUUGCGUUGCACUGAGCGUUUCCCACAGAGACGUCCUGAAAUUGGUCAAGGAAAAGUUCCCUGAGCUUCGCUGCUGUGCCCACGAGUGAGUUUACUUUCAUUCCUUUUUGUUCAGUUUUGUUCAAAGCGUAAUGAGAUUUGUAUGGGUAGGGGUGUUUCUGAAACGAGCAUUGGAAUUCCUCAUGCCGGAAGAUACGAUGGAAUCCCCCCCGAGAAGAUUGGGAACAAGAAAACUACAGAGCUAAUUGGAGGAUUCAUACCUUAUGAACAAACUCUCUUCGACACCAUUGCUAGCAUCCGUGAACGAGGUUUUCUGCCAUGAAAAUGAAAGAACUCAAGGACUAUUGCUAUAGAUCUGUAUGAAAACGAAAAUGAAUGAAUGUGCGUAUUGGUUUGCAAAUUAUAAAGACUCUCAACUCCACUUUACGCACUUAACCUGCUUUCUCUUAAGUU
rnacentral:lncRNA from 1 species